rnacentral:rRNA from 1 species
UCUUUCCUACGGGGGGCAGCAGUGGGGAAUAUUGCACAAUGGGCGAAAGCCUGAUGCAGCAACGCCGCGUGAAGGAAGAAGGGUUUCGGCUCGUAAACUUCUAUUAACAGGGACGAAAGAAAUGACGGUACCUGAAUAAGAAGCCCUGGCUAACUACGUGCCAGCAGCCGCGGUAAUACGUAGGGGGCAAGCGUUAUCCGGAAUUACUGGGUGUAAAGGGUGAGUAGGCGGCAUGGGAAGCCAGAUGUGCAAGCCUUG